UACGGGGGGGGGUAAGCGUUGUUCGGAAUUACUGGGCGUAAAGGGCUCGUAGGUGGUCAACUAAGUCAUACGUGAAAUCCCUCGGCUUAACCGGGGAACUGCGCCUGAUACUGGUUGACUUGAGUUUGGGAGAGGGACGCGGAAUUCCAGGUGUAGCAGUGAAAUGCGUAGAUAUCUGGAGGAACACCGAUGGCGAAGGCAGCCUCCUGGGCUAGUACUGACGCUCAUGCACGAAAGCGUGGGGAGCAAACAGG
rnacentral:rRNA from 1 species